rnacentral:rRNA from 1 species
AGCAGCCGCGGUAAUUCCAGCUCCAAUAGCGUAUAUUAAAGUUGUUGCAGUUAAAAAGCUCGUAGUUGAACUUCGGGGUUUACCCAUUGGUCAGGCUUAAUUGUCUGUACUGGUGAGAUAAAUCUCUACCUUCUGAGGAACUUUCAUGUCAUUAAUUUGGUGUGAUUGGAAAUCAGGACUGUUACUUUGAAAAAAUUAGAGUGUUUAAAGCAGGCUAACGUCUGAAUACAUUAGCAUGGAAUAAUGAAAUAGGACGGACUGAUUCUAUUUCGUUGGUUUCUAGGAUCACCGUAAUGAUUAAUAGGGAUAGUUGGGGGCAUUAGUAUUCAAUUGUCAGAGGUGAAAUUCUUGGAUUUAUUGAAGACUAACUACUGCGAAAGCAUUUGCCAAGGACGUUUUCAUUAAUCAAGAACGAAAGUUAGGGGAUCGAAGACGAUCAGAUACCGUCGUAGUCUUAACCAUAAACUAUGCCGACUAGGGAUCGGACGAAGUUAAUUUUAUAAUGACGCGUUCGGCACCUUACGGGAAAA